rnacentral:rRNA from 1 species
GAAUCAUAAUGGCCGAAAAUCUAAGGUUUCUUGGGGAAGGUUCGUCCGCCCAAGGUAAGCCGGGAGCUAAGGCGAGGCCGCGAGGCGUAGUCGAUGCACAUACGGUAGAAAUUCCGUAGCCACCGAACUUUAAACCAGAAGGACACUUGCAGAUAGCGGAACCCAGCCGUUGGUUGAGCUGGGCGCAAGGGACUGAAAUAUAGUAGGGAAGUCCGCGAUGCUGUGAGGCGAGAAAAGCUCUGGUGAAUACUAAGGUGCCCGUACCGCAAACCGACACAGGUAGAUGAGGAGAGAAUCCUAAGGCCAACGGGAGAAGGGUUGUUAAGGAACUCGGCAAAUUGACCCCGUAACUUCGGAAGAAGGGGAGCCUCGAAAGAGGCCGCAGUGAAUAGGCCCAAGCAACUGUUUACCAAAAACACAGGUCUAUGCUAAAUCGAAAGAUGACGUAUAUGGGCUGACGCCUGCCCGGUGCCGGAAGGUUAAGAGGAGAGCUUAGCGCAAGCGAAGGUUUGAAUUGAAGCCCCGGUAAACGGCGGCCGUAACUAUAACGGUCCUAAGGUAGCGAAAUUCCUUGUCAGGUAAGUUCUGACCCGCACGAAUGGCGUAAUGAUUUGGGCACUGUCUCGACAGCCCGCCCGGCGAAAUUGUAGUACUGGUGAAGAUGCCAGUUACCCGCAACUAGACGGAAAGACCCCAUGGAGCUUUACUGCAGUUUAAUACUGGGAAUCGGUAAUUCAUGUACAGGAUAGGUGGGAGACUGAGAAGCACGGCCGUCAGGUCGUGUGGAGUCACCGGUGGGAUACCACUCUUGGAUUGCUGGUUUCCUAACCUGCGGCCCUGAAUCGGGUCGGGGGACACUGUUAGACGGGCAGUUUGACUGGGGCGGUCGCCUCCAAAAGAGUAACGGAGGCGCUCAAAGGUUCGUUCAGCACGGACGGAAAUCGUGCAUUGAGUGUAAACGCAUAAACGAGCCUAACUGCGAGACCGACGGGUCGAGCAGUAACGAAAGUUGGAGUUAGUGAUCCGGUGGUAUGUGAGUGGAAAUGCCAUCGCUCAACGGAUAAAAGCUACCCUGGGGAUAACAGGCUGAUCUCCCCCAAGCGUCCACAGCGACGGGGAGGUUUGGCACCUCGAUGUCGGCUCGUCGCAUCCUGGGGCUGUAUUCGGUCCCAAGGGUUUGGCUGUUCGCCAAUUAAAGCGGCACGCGAGCUGGGUUCAGAACGUCGUGAGACAGUUCGGUCCCUAUCUGUUGCGGGCGUAAGAGAUUUGAAGGGAGCUGUCCUUAGUACGAGAGGACCGGGAUGGACGUACCUCUGGUGCACCAGUUGUCCUGCCAAGGGCAUAGCUGGGUAGCUAUGUACGGACGAGAUAAACGCUGAAAGCAUCUAAGCGUGAAACUC